AUGCCCAAGACGAUCAAUGUGCGUGUGACCACCACGGACGCUGAGCUGGAGUUUGCCAUCCAGCCCAACACCACCGGCAAGCAGCUGUUUGGCCAGGUGGUGAAAACCAUCGGCCUGAGGGAAGUUUGGUUUUUUGGUCUGCAGUACCAGGACACUACGGGUUUCUCUACUUGGUUGAAACUCAACAAGAAGGUGACUGCCCAGGAUGUGCGGAAGGAAAGCCCUCUGCUUUUCAAGUUCCGGGCCAAGUUCUACCCUGAGGAUGUAUCUGAAGAGUUGAUCCAGGACAUCACACAGAGACUAUUCUUCCUGCAAGUGAAGGAGGGCAUUCUCACGGAUGAUAUUUACUGCCCACCUGAGACUGCUGUGUUGCUGGCCUCCUAUGCUGUCCAGUCCAGGUAUGGUGACUUCAGUAAGGAAGUCCACAAGUCUGGCUACUUGGCUGGGGACAAGUUGCUCCCACAGAGGGUCCUGGAGCAGCACAAGCUUAACAAGGGCCAGUGGGAGGAAAGAAUCCAGGUGUGGCAUGAGGAGCACCGGGGCAUGCUCAGGGAGGAUGCUGUCCUGGAGCAUCUGAAGAUAGCCCAGGAUCUGGAGAUGUAUGGUGUGAACUACUUCAACAUCAAGAACAAGAAAGGCUCAGAGCUGUGGCAGGGGGUGGAUGCCCUGGGUCUCAACAUCUACGAGCAGAACGACAGGCUGACUCCUAAGACAGGCUUCCCCUGGAGUGAAAUCAGGAACAUCUCUUUCAACGACAAGAAAUUUGUCAUCAAGCCCAUUGACAAAAAAGCCCCGGACUUUGUUUUCUAUGCUCCUCGGCUGCAGAUUAACAAACGGAUCUUGGCUCUGUGCAUGGGGAACCAUGAGCUAUACACGCGCCGUCGCAAGCCCGACACCAUUCAAGUACAGCAGAUGAAGGCACAGGCUCGGGAGGAGAAGCGCCAGAAGCAGAUGGAGCGUGCUCUGCUGGAAAAUGAAAAGAAGAAACGUGAGAUGGCAGAAAAGGAGAAAGAGAAGAUUGAACGGGGAAAGGAGGAACUGAUGGAGAAGCUGAAGCAAAUCGAGGAACAGACUAAGAAGGCUCAACAAGAACUGGAAGAACAGAUCCGCAGAGCUCUGGAACUUGAACAGGAGCGAAAGCGUGCCCAGAGUGAGGCUGAAAAACUGGCCAAAGAGCGUCAAGAAGCUGAAGAGGCCAAGGAGGCCCUGUUGCAGGCCUCCCGGGACCAGAAGAAGACCCAGGAUAGGCCCUCAGUUCAGAGCUGGCCAAUGCCCGUGAUGAGUCCAAGAAGACUGCUAAUGACAUGA